AUUGAACGCUGGCGGCAGGCCUAACACAUGCAAGUCGAGCGGAUGAAGGGAGCUUGCUCCUGGAUUCAGCGGCGGACGGGUGAGUAAUGCCUAGGAAUCUGCCUGGUAGUGGGGGGUAACGUCCGGAAACGGGCGCUAAUACCGCAUACGUCCUGAGGGAGAAAGAGGGGGAUCUUCGGACCUCACGCUAUCAGAUGAGCCUAGGUCGGAUUAGCUAGUUGGUGGGGUAAAGGCCUACCAAGGCGACGAUCCGUAACUGGUCUGAGAGGAUGAUCAGUCACACUGGAACUGAGACACGGUCCAGACUCCUACGGGAGGCAGCAGUGGGGAAUAUUGGACAAUGGGCGAAAGCCUGAUCCAGCCAUGCCGCGUGUGUGAAGAAGGUCUUCGGAUUGUAAAGCACUUUUAGUUGGGAGGAAGGGCAGUAAGUUAAUACCUUGCUGUUUUGACGGUACCAACAGAAUAAGCACCGGCUAACUUCGUG
rnacentral:rRNA from 1 species